CGGAGGAGAUGAGGACACAGGCUCAGGAGAAGGUGGUGAAACUGCUACUCAAAGACAUGGAAUAAUUUGCCAGCCUCUCAGGUGGCGCCAGGAUUUCUACCUCAGACCUCAGAGAUCCUGCUUCCUACUGCACUCUCCUGAUAGCUUCCUGGGAAGCUGGCUGGCACGGCACUUCAGAUUCAGGGACUGCCUGAUACUGUGAAGUCACAAACCCAGUUAACUGCAGAGCCAGAGCCUUUUUUUCUUUUUUUCGAGACAGUCUCUCUGUCGCCCAGGCUGGAGUGCAGUGGUGCCAUCUCGUCUCACUGCAACCUCUGCCUCCCAGGUUCAAGCAAUUCUUGUGCCUCAGCCUCCUGAGUAGCUGGGAUUACAGGCGCCCACCACCUGUUCGGCUAGUUUUUGUAAUUUCAGUAGAGACGGGGUUUCACCAUGUUGGUCAGGCUGGUCUUGAACUCCUGACCUCGGGUGAUCCACCUGCCUUGGCCUCCUGAAGUGUUGGGUUUACAGGCGUGAGCCAUGGUGCCCAGCAGAACCAGAGCUUUUCUUGACUCCCUUGUUUGGUUCUGGGCUCUUAGCU
rnacentral:lncRNA from 1 species